CGCCGGAAGCCGGCGCCGCGUCUGUCUCCUGGGCUCCUGCGGUUGCCUUGACUACGGAGGGCGCGGUGGAACGACGGAAGCUGCGAGUUUGUAGGAGCCGAGGAGCCGGGAGCAUGAGGACCUGGUGUCUGUGUCAGAUUUGUACUUGCGGUCCCUUUCCAGCUGUCAGGAAUUUUCAGUCUUCAUGAUGUUGGAGGAUCCCUUUUCUUCAGGCAGUUAAAUGAUCCAGGGAACUGAGGCAUUGCCAAAGCAAGAGGAAUCUUCUCUGGGCUUUGAACGUUGGUAAUGCUUCCCACUGACAUGUCUCUUGCUGAAUUCUAAGAAUCCCCUCAGCAGUGGUGCCACCCCAACUUUCAAGUGUAUGUUUGAGGUACAAGAAUCUUGGCAAAGCCGGGAGCCACUAUUGAAGGAUUCACCUGACCAACUCUUGAGAUCUGGCCACCACCUGCAACUGUGAUAGAGUGGGGCAACGAUCCCUGCUCUUCUAAGAGAACAAACUCAUUGAUGUUUCAGUACACUGCCUCUAUCUAUCAGGAUCAAGAUUGUUGGGCCCCUUUGGGAAAUUUUGACCUGUGUCUGUUACUUUUUCAUCUUGCUAUUUUAAUCUUUUUUUUUUUUCCUACUAUGUAACUAAAAAUUUCCAAAUGUCUAUUUCUUUAUCAGUCAAAACUGCCAUCUAUUAUAUUUUCCUUUGCAGUAUGCACAUACAAUUGCUCAUGUGAGUUAAACUGUGAUGAGUUUUUAAUGUUUGCAUAGGCGACAUCAUUGUCCACAUGGAACCACAAGGAUUUAUGAAAAUUCUGGCGGGUCUUGUGCCACAACUGAAUAUUUGGAAAAAUAUCCUACAUAUGGCAGUGUUCUUCCAUCUCAGAGUCUGAAGCCCAAGGAAGAAUUUCGAGCGUAUCGUGGCAAGAUGGAAGGAAUAACAACAUUUAAGUAAAUAUCAAGAAACAAUUUGCUUAUUUUUUCACCACUCUCCUGGUUUUAAUAAAGUUUUCCUUAAACUAUUUAGUUGAUUUAAGUUGAACCAAUCUAAAAAGCAAGAAACUGGUUGAGUCACAACUUGAGAAAACCAGAAAGAUGAGAACUAAGCUAAAAUGACAAAAAUGAGAAUGUAGAAGGGAAAUAUAAAAAGUUCUGUUGAUUUUUUAA